rnacentral:rRNA from 1 species
GACGAACGCUGGCGGCGUGCCUAAUACAUGCAAGUAGAACGCAGUUGCGAACGGGUGAGUAACGCGUAGGGAACCUGCCUCAUAGCGGGGGAUAACUAUUGGAAACGGUGGCUAAUACCGCAUACUAACGGAUGAACCCAUAUGGGAUUAGCUAGUAGGUGGGGUAAAGGCUCACCUAGGGGACGAUCUCUAGCUGGUCUGAGAGGAUGAUCAGCCACACUGGGAAUGAGACACGGCCCAGAAUCCUACGGGAGGCAGCAGUGGGGAAUCUUCCGCAAUGGACGAAAGUCUGACGGAGCAACGCCGCGUGAGUGAUGACGGCCUUCGGGUUGUAAAGCUCUGUUAAUCGGGACGCGGUACCGGAAUAGAAAGCCACGGCUAACUACGUGCCAGCAGCCGCGGUAAUAC